rnacentral:rRNA from 1 species
AGUGAACGCUGGCGGUAGGCCUAACACAUGCAAGUCGAACGGCAGCACAGUAAGAGCUUGCUCUUACGGGUGGCGAGUGGCGGACGGGUGAGGAAUACAUCGGAAUCUACUUUUUCGUGGGGGAUAACGUAGGGAAACUUACGCUAAUACCGCAUACGACCUACGGGUGAAAGCAGGGGAUCUUCGGACCUUGCGCGAUUGAAUGAGCCGAUGUCGGAUUAGCUAGUUGGCGGGGUAAAGGCCCACCAAGGCGACGAUCCGUAGCUGGUCUGAGAGGAUGAACAGCAACAGUGGAACUGAGACACGUUCAAACCCCCGAGGGGAGGAGCGAGGGGGAAAUAUUGAAAAGUGGGCGAAAGCUUGAACCAACAAUCCCGGGGGGGGAAAGAGGGCUUUGGGGUGUAAAACCCUUUUUGUGGGAAAAAAAAAGCAGCAGUUAAAUACCCCGCUGUUCGGAGGGACCAAAAAAAAUAAGCACCGGCUAAUUUCGUG